AUAGAUGCUGCGAGGAAAGUCCCCGUGCCUUGGUGCAGAGAGUGCGAACCUCCAGUGGUGAUGCUUCUCGUGGCGGGCGCGGGCCCUUAGCAGCAGCACAGACAUGCCGUGAGCGCUCAUGAUUGGAGAGAUGCUGCGAGGAAAUGGGAGACCCACAGGGCUGGUUCCAAUCCCCCCAAUGGUGAUGCUUCUUGCGGAGCCUUGGUCGGAGGCUCUGGCCCUUCGCAGCACCACAGACAUGCCGUGAGCGCUCAUGAUUGGAGCGCCACAGACAUGCCGUGAGCGCUCAUGAUUUAACAGAAUCGAGCUCACUCUCC
rnacentral:RNase_MRP_RNA from 14 species